UAGAUAUGGUAUAUAAUUUACUCUAGUCAUGUAGUAUUUACCAAAAGCUUUUUCUAAUAUGAUUUUUCUUAUAUCUGCUACUUUUAUAUUUCUAAGUGCAUACAAAAUAAGUAUUUUAAAUUUAUCUACCAUCACAUCAGAUAAAUUAUCAUUCAUUUUCAUAAAAUUGCUUUUUUCAAAAUAUUUCCUUCAACCAUGUACAUAACAAAAUAUGGUCAUCUUAGCUUACUAUAUACUAGAUUAUUCUUAAAUAAUAUGUUCUUCCAUCACUAUUAACAUGGUAAUUCGGAUACUUUUUCCCUUAAACAGCGCCUCUACUCUGGUUACUCCCCGCCACGGCUUCUUGCCUCAAUGGUUUCACCUUUAGGAUGGCAUAGUCCUUAGGGAUAUUUCUCCGUUUCCUCUUUGUUAAUAAACUUCUUAACAUAUUAUUCUUCGAAUAAUUCUACUAUAAAGUAACUAAUAUGAAUUAUUUUAUCAUAUCAUGAUUGUUGGGAAUUAUGAAAUUAGCUAUUCAUAAUCAUAAAUAGAUAUACCUGUUCCGGUAG
rnacentral:lncRNA from 1 species